rnacentral:rRNA from 1 species
UACGUAGGGUGCGAGCGUUGUCCGGAAUUAUUGGGCGUAAAGGGCUCGUAGGCGGUUUGUCGCGUCGGGAGUGAAAAUCCGGGGCUCAACCCCGGACUUGCAGUGGGUACGGGCAGACUAGAGUGUGGUAGGGGAGACUGGAAUUCCUGGUGUAGCGGUGAAAUGCGCAGAUAUCAGGAGGAACACCGAUGGCGAAGGCAGGUCUCUGGGCCACUACUGACGCUGAGAAGCGAAAGCAUGGGGAGCGAACAGG